AUAAAAUAGACAACUAUUUAAUUCAGUAAAUAAACUUAUAUUUAUACUUAAGCGUGUAGAAGUAUGCGACUGAAAAUGUGUAACGGUAAAAUCUGAUUACUAAUACACUGCAAAAAAUGAAUACUCAAGUCAAUCGAGCCAAAAAAUCAGAGCGAUAAAUUCAAAUAAUCAGAUGAACAAAAUUAAAGUGUCAUAAAUGUACAUUAUAAUGAAAAUAUUGCAUGAGAGAACGUGACUGGAGGCCAAAUGGCGAGUUGAAGUAUGCAACCGAAAAUGUGUAAUGAUAAAAAUUCAUUGAUUAUUUCGAAUUUGAUGGACAGCUAUUUAAGGAAAUUAAUACUGAAGUCAAUCGAGUGAAGUUGUAAGAGUGACAAACACAAAUAACCGGUCGAACAAAGUAUCAUAAAGAUGGAUGUGCGCAGUCGUGAAACGUCUAACGAUAAAAAUAGUCAUUAAUAUAUUAGAGAAAUAAAUUGAAAACUACACAUCAAAUUGGCGACAAAUUCAUGGAUUAUUUAAUUAAUUCAAUUUCAAUUCAAUUAAUUAAUUCAAAUAAAAAAAAUAUAUUUGACAAGAUGAAUACUAAAAUCAAUCGAGACAAGCAGUAAGAGUGACAAAUUUAAAUAAUCGGAUGAACAAAAUUAAAGUGUCAUAAAAGUUUAGUACAAUGAAAAUAUUGCAGGAGAGAACGUGACUGCCGACCAAA